GAAAUAAACACUUUCUUUCUUCUCUUUCCCUCUCACACUCACGCAUGGGGGGCAGCCUCUCUCUCCACUGUCCUGCACCAGACCAGACCAGACGGCUCACCACCACCACCACCACCACCACCUCUCUCCACUGACCUUCUCUCUCACGCACGGGCAAGACCCACCACAACCACAUCCUCCCACCGCCGCAGCAGACCCCGCUGGCGCAGCCAGCCACCUCCUCCCGUACUUAGGGAGCACGCUGGCCCAACGGGGACCUCCUCCCACUGCCGCCACAGCGCCACCAGCCAGCCAACCACCUCUUUUCCUCCAUCAAAGUACCUAAAAAGCUCCUUAAUUUUACUGGAAAAUAGCUUUGGUGGUAGGAAAGGUUCUUGGAAGCUUGGGGAUGUGUAUUGAGGCGGAAUGGAAUCGAAGAACCGAGAGUUCGAUUUAAUUAUGGUUUUCUAUGUAUUUUUCCGCAAUUGGUUGCAAUAAGUUUUAAUUAAGUUUUCAUUAUGUCAAAGUUAUGUUUUGUUUCUAACAAUGGGAUCCCAAUGUCAUACUUAUGAAUUUUAUAUAGUUUUAAGCCUUUACCUUA